rnacentral:tRNA from 1 species
GGUGGGUUGGCUCAGUGGUUAGAGCAUACAUAGGUCUCGUAACUGAAACGUCGCGGGAUCGAAUCCCGCUAGAGGCUG